UUUUCCAUAGUGUAGUGGUUAUCACGUCGGCUCUACACGCUGAAGGUCCUUAGUACGAUCCUGGGUGGAAACA
rfam:Daphnia pulex DAPPTscaffold_526_Cont9908, whole genome shotgun sequence.